GGAGAGGUGCCUGAGUGGCCGAAAGGAACGGUUUGCUAAAUCGUCGUACCAGCAAUGGUACCCAGGGUUCGAAUCCCUGUCUCUCCGCAA
rnacentral:tRNA from 1 species